UGGGGAAUUUUGGACAAUGGGGGAAACCCUGAUCCAGCCAUCCCGCGUGUGCGAUGAAGGCCUUCGGGUUGUAAAGCACUUUUGGCAGGAAAGAAACGUCGCGGGUUAAUACCCCGCGAAACUGACGGUACCUGCAGAAUAAGCACCGGCUAACUACGUGCCAGCAGCCGCGGUAAUACGUAGGGUGCAAGCGUUAAUCGGAAUUACUGGGCGUAAAGCGUGCGCAGGCGGUUCGGAAAGAAAGAUGUGAAAUCCCAGAGCUUAAACUUUGGAACUGCAUUUUUAACUACCGGGCUAGAGUGUGUCAGAGGGAGGUGGGAUUCCGCGUGUAGCAGUGAAAAUGCGUAGAUAUGCGGAGGAACACCGAUGGCGAAGGCAGCCUCCUGGGAUAACACUGACGCUCAUGCACGAAAAGCGUGGGGAGCAAAACAGGAUUAGAUACCCUGGUAGUCCACGCCCUAAAACGAUGUCAAACUAGCUGUUGGGGCCUUCGGGCCUUGGUAGCGCAGCUAAACGCGUGAAAGUUGACCGCCUGGGGAGUACGGUCGGCAAAGAUUAAAAACUCAAAAAUGAAAUUGACGGGGUC
rnacentral:rRNA from 1 species